rnacentral:rRNA from 3 species
GUCUGCAACUCGACUCCAUGAAGUCGGAAUCGCUAGUAAUCGUGGAUCAGAAUGCCACGGUGAAUACGUUCCCGGGCCUUGUACACACCGCCCGUCACACCAUGGGAGUGGGUUGCAAAAGAAGUAGGUAGCUUAACCUUCGGGAGGGCGCUUACCACUUUGUGAUUCAUGACUGGGGUGAAGUCGUAACAAGGUAACCGUAGGGGAACCUGCGGUUGGAUCACCUCCUUACCUUAAAGAA